UACGAAGGGUGCAAGCGUUGCUCGGAUUUACUGGGCGUAAAGGGCGUGUAGGCGGCCUAAUUAGUGUAUGGUUAAAAACCGGAGCUCAACUUCGGGGGUACUGUGCAAACGGUUAGGCUAGAGUGUGUCAGAGGAUGGCGGAAUUCCUGGUGUAGAGGUGAAAUUCGUAGAGCUCAGGAGGAACAUCGGAGGCGAAGGCGGCUAUCUGGGGCAUUACUGACGCUGAGGCGCGAAAGCGUGGGGAUCAAACAGG
rnacentral:rRNA from 1 species